UACAGAGGUCCCAAGCGUUUGUUCGGAUUCACUGGGCGUAAAGGGUGCGUAGGUGGCGAGGUAAGUCGGAUGUGAAAGCUCGGAGCUCAACUCCGAAAUGGCAUUGGAAACUACCUUGCUCGAGGGUUGGAGGGGGGACUGGAAUUUACGGUGUAGCGGUGAAAUGCGUAGAUAUCGUAAGGAAGACCAGUGGCGAAGGCGGGUCUCUGGACAGUUCCUGACGCUGAGGCACGAAGGCCAGGGGAGCAAACGGGGA
rnacentral:rRNA from 1 species